rnacentral:rRNA from 1 species
GACGAACGCUGGCGGCGUGCUUAACACAUGCAAGUCGAACGGAAAGGCCCUGCUUUUGUGGGGUGCUCGAGUGGCGAACGGGUGAGUAACACGUGAGUAACCUGCCCUUGACUUUGGGAUAACUUCAGGAAACUGGUGCUAAUACCGGAUAGGAGCUCCUGCUGCAUGGUGGGGGUUGGAAAGUUUCGGCGGUUGGGGAUGGACUCGCGGCUUAUCAGCUUGUUGGUGGGGUAGUGGCUUACCAAGGCUUUGACGGGUAGCCGGCCUGAGAGGGUGACCGGCCACAUUGGGACUGAGAUACGGCCCAGACUCCUACGGGAGGCAGCAGUGGGGAAUAUUGCACAAUGGGCGGAAGCCUGAUGAAGAAACGCCGCGUGCGGGAUGACGGCCUUCGGGUUGUAAACCGCUUUCGCCUGUGACGAAGCGUGAGUGACGGUAAUGGGUAAAGAAGCACCGGCUAACUACGUG